rnacentral:rRNA from 1 species
GUCUACGGCCAUACUACCUGGAACACACCUGAUCUCAGAAGGUAAACAGGGUCAGGCCUGGUUAGUACUCGGAUGGGAGAAUGUGGCUGGGAGAUUUGAAAGCUGAGUUCC